SGGGGAUGAGUUGUGGGUAGCGGUGAAAUUCCAAACGAACUUGGAGAUAGCUGGUUCUCUCCGAAAUAGCUUUAGGGCUAGCCUCGUGGAGAGGAUAAUGGAGGUAGAGCUCUGUUUGGACUAGGGGCCCGUCAGGGGUUACUGAAUCCAGAUAAACUGCGAAUUCCAGAUAUCCAUACACGGGAGUCAGACUGCGAGUGAUAAGAUCCGUAGUCGAAAGGGAAACAGCCCAGAUCACCAGUUAAGGUCCCCAAAUCUAUGCUAAGUGGAAAAGGAUGUGGAGUUGCGUAGACAACUAGGACGUUGGCUCAGAAGCAGCCAUCAUUACAAAGAGUGACGUAAUAGCUCACUAGUCGAGGUCGACGCCGGCCGCGAAUUCUACAGUGCU
rnacentral:rRNA from 1 species